rnacentral:rRNA from 1 species
AUUGAACGCUGGCGGCAGGCCUAACACAUGCAAGUCGAGCGGAUGAGGAAAGCUUGCUUUUCGAUUCAGCGGCGGACGGGUGAGUAAUGCCUAGGAAUCUGCCUGUUAGUGGGGGAUAACUCGGGGAAACUCGGGCUAAUACCGCGUACGUCCUACGGGAGAAAGGGGGGGAUCUUCGGACUUAACGCUAACAGAUGAGCCUAGGUCGGAUUAGCUAGUAGGUGAGGUAAUGGCUCACCUAGGCGACGAUCCGUAACUAGUCUGAGAGGAUGAUCAGUCACACUGGAACUGAGACACGGUCCAGACUCCUACGGGAGGCAGCAGUGGGGAAUAUUGGACAAUGGGCGAAAGCCUGAUCCAGCCAUGCCGCGUGUGUGAAGAAGGUCUUCGGAUUGUAAAGCACUUUAAGUUGGGAGGAAGGGUAUUCACCUAAUACGUGGGUACUUUGACGUUACCAACAGAAUAAGCACCGGCUAACUCUGUGCCAGCCGCCGCCGUAACAC